rnacentral:misc_RNA from 1 species
GAUGAAGAACGUAGCAAAAUGCGAUAAGUAAUGUGAAUUGCAGAAUUCAGUGAAUCAUCGAAUCUUUGAACGCACAUUGCGCCCGCUGGUAUUCCGGCGGGCAUGCCUGUUCGAGCGUCAUUUCAACCCUCAAGCCCCCGGGUUUGGUGUUGGGGAUCGGCUCUGCCCUUCUGGGCGGUGCCGCCCCCGAAAUACAUUGGCGGUCUCGCUGCAGCCUCCAUUGCGUAGUAGCUAACACCUCGCAACUGGAACGCGGCGCGGCCAUGCCGUAAAACCCCAACUUCUGAAUGUUGACCUCGGAUCAGGUAGGAAUACCCGCUGAACUUAAGCAUAUCAUAAGCGAAGGA